GGACCCAUAGCUCAGUUGGUUAGAGCAGCGGUCUCAUAAACCGUUGGUCCCGUGUUCAAGUCACGGUGGGUCCA
rnacentral:tRNA from 1 species